rnacentral:rRNA from 1 species
UACAGAGGUCUCAAGCGUUGUUCGGAUUCAUUGGGCGUAAAGGGUGCGUAGGUGGGCAGGUAAGUCAGUGGUGAAAUCUCCGAGCUUAACUCGGAAACUGCCAUUGAUACUAUCUGUCUUGAAUUAUCUGGAGGUGAGCGGAAUAUGUCAUGUAGCGGUGAAAUGCUUAGAUAUGACAUAGAACACCAAUUGCGAAGGCAGCUCACUACGGAUAUAUUGACACUGAGGCACGAAAGCGUGGGGAUCAAACAGG